rnacentral:rRNA from 1 species
GAUGAACGCUGGCGGCGUGCCUAAUACAUGCAAGUCGAGCGAACAGACGAGGAGCUUGCACCUCUGACGUUAGCGGCGGACGGGUGAGUAACACGUGGAUAACCUACCUAUAAGACUGGGAUAACUUCGGGAAACCGGAGCUAAUACUGGAUAAUAUAUUGAACCGCAUGGUUCAAUAGUGAAAGACGGUUUUGCUGUCACUUAUAGAUGGAUCCGCGCCGCAUUAGCUAGUUGGUAAGGUAACGGCUUACCAAGGCAACGAUGCGUAGCCGACCUGAGAGGGUGAUCGGCCACACUGGAACUGAGACACGGUCCAGACUCCUACGGGAGGCAGCAGUAGGGAAUCUUCCGCAAUGGGCGAAAGCCUGACGGAGCAACGCCGCGUGAGUGAUGAAGGUCUUCGGAUCGUAAAACUCUGUUAUUAGGGAAGAACAAAUGUGUAAGUAACUAUGCACGUCUUGACGGUACCUAAUCAGAAAGCCACGGCUAACUACGUG